UAUCUCUUAAUUGAUAACAUUGUUUCAAAUUCUCAAGCACUCCAAUUGUAUGAUGAAUUGUUUAUUCUCUUAAUUGAAAUCCUGAUAAAUUGAUUUUAUUUAGAAACAUCUAUGUUGCAUGAGGUGUUUGCUAAAUCUCAAAUUGGCUACGUCUAUGAUCACAUAAACUGCACCUCCUCUGUUGAAUGAGGAUGAUUAUCACAUGAUGCUUAGGUUUUUUCUUUUUCUUUUCUUCUUCCUCAAAAUAAUCUUGCUGUUACUUAUGUUGCUUACUCUAUAUUUUUUUCAUAUAGAUUCCUCAGGGCAAGGAAAUUUUAUAUUAAGAAAACAAAUCUAAUGUGUGUUAGCAUGCUCAAGUGGAGGAAGAAAUUUGGUUCAGCCACUAUUAUAGAGGACUUUGAUUUCAAGGAAAUCAAUGAAGUGAUAAUUCUUCCUUGAGCCUUAGUCUACAGCAAAAAUCCAUGUGAGCAUGAAUAACUUUACCUUAAAUCCUCUUGUAUUUGUCAUGAAAAAUAGGUACAACCGAGUAACUGAAACUUGUGAUUUAUCUGCAGGUUUUUUAUAACUAUAUGUUUCUAAAUUGCUUGAAAUAAUCAAUUCAAAGUGUGUUCAUGAAUAGAUUCAGUAAUAUUAUUGUAAGAACUAAUGAGAAGGUUCUUAGUUAUAACAAUCAUUCUUUUUCACCAUUUUACAUGUGACAUUGCACUGAUGUCAUUUUUCAAGAAAGGAAUGAGAGGCUGUUUUAUAAGCUUCUGAUUGAUAACAUGGAGGAACUGCUUCCUGUUGUUUACACUCUGACUGUUGGAGAAGCCUACCAGAAAUAUGGAAGCAUUUUUCGUUGACCGCAUGGUCUAUACAUCAGAUUGAAAGUGAAGUAUGCUUUUUUAUUUUUAUUUAUUGUUCUGUUUUAAUCAUUUAGCCUUUGACGUGAAAAAAAAAAAGAAAGAUAAGAAGAGAUAAUAAGUGUUUGAGACUCUACAGAGGCCAGAUCCUUGAAGAACUAAAAAACUGGCUAGAGAAGAGCAUUCAAGUUGUUGUCACUAAUGACGAGCGUAUAUUAAGAUUUAGAGAUCUUAACUGCCAGGCUGUUGUUUUCACAGAUAUUAGUCUUGAGAAAGUUAUUGAGUUCAAUGAUUUCUGCGACACUCAUCACCUUCCUAUUGCUUUUAUCAAAACUGAAGUUAGAGGUCUUUUUGCAAAGAAAAAGUCAAUUCUAGACUCAGAACUUUGGCAUGCAUGUGCUGGUGCAUCCCCUGUUUCUUUACCUGCAGUUAGGAGCCGUGUGGUGUACUUUCCACAAGGUCACAGUAAACAGAUAAUGUUGAAAUAUGUUGUUGUUAUUGUUAUUAUUAUUAUUAUUAUUAUUAUUUACCUAACUUUUUAUAUUUGGGUUUGCUCUUUUUUUUAUAUUGAUUAAUUAAUUUAUUUUGUGAUGUUCUAGUUUCUUACCUUACCAUAGUUUGAUGACUUGAAUUUUAAUUAAUUCAAAUUGAUAGAUGAUGAAGAAGAAUAUAAGGAGUCUGGAACGGAUAGUUGUUUUUCGUCCUCAUGUUUGGAAAUUUCGAUAAUUCCGAUGGUCUUGAUGCUGAAGAUAUUCGUUGUAAACUAGGAUCAGAGACAUUUAAGAUUUCUAGAAAAGCAUGUCAUUAAAUGAAACAGAACACAAAAUCAUAGAUAUAAUCUACUACACAAAUGAAAGUAGAGAAUGUAGAUCACAUAAGCAAAAAAGGCAAAGGCAGAAAAUGUACAUGAAUAGGAGAUAGGAAGAGAGGUUCCUCUUGGUGGUAGAAUGGGUAUACUUAAAUUGAAAAAAAUAUGACUUUUUCAAAAAUAGAAAUUAAUAUCACAAGUAUGUAUGGUAUCUUGUGUUACCUGAUAACUGAUUAUUACAGUUUGUAUACUUAUACUUUUGUUUUUAGUAUGAUGAUGUUUGCUGCAAGAGCAAAAAGAGGCCUAUCUUCUAGCAGUGUUGGGAAGUCCAUGCAGCAGAAAAAGUGUUUCCUCCAUUGGAUUUCUCUCAACAGCCUCCUGCUCAAGAGUUGAUUUCAAGGGAUUUACAUGGUUCCUAGAUAAAGCGGCGAUUGUUUCAGAAAGGUCAAAGGCACAUAGAUGGAAAGUGUGCACAGUAACACAAGUAGAAGAAGUGAAGAUCCUAAUAAGAAUGCUACCAAUAGGUUGAAGCACCAUCAUAGUGAACACAUGCUUGGCACAGCUUCAAACAUUCUCAGUUCAGCAAGGCAAUGUAAUGAACCUCAAACUUGAAGUUUUGUUUGUUAUUCUUGUUAUAGUUUUGAAUUGGGCUAAGUGUAUAUGUGGGAGUUAGGAAGGUUGUUGUGGCUUACAUUAUGAACAAAAGAGAGUACAAAGUGUUAAAGAUAGAUGAUGUUGCUCACUAUACAAUUUUCUUGCACACAAAUAGUUAGUUAUUUUCCUUUUGCAUUGCUAGCUUGAUUUAAUUUCAUAUGUUUCUAAACAAAAUUUAGUUAAUGUACAUGUAUUCUUGUAUAAAGAUUAU